rnacentral:rRNA from 1 species
UUGAACGCUGGCGGCAGGCCUAACACCUGCAAGUCGCGCGGAUGAAGGGAGCUUGCUCCUGGAUUCAGCGGCGGACGGGUGAGUAAUGCCUAGGAAUCUGCCUGGUAGUGGGGGAUAACGUCCGGAAACGGGCGCUAAUACCGCAUACGUCCUGAGGGAGAAAGUGGGGGAUCUUCGGACCCCACGCUAUCAGAUGAGCCUAGGUCGGAUUAGCUAGUUGGUGGGGUAAAGGCCUACCAAGGCGACGAUCCGUAACUGGUCUGAGAGGAUGAUCAGUCACACUGGAACUGAGACACGGUCCAGACUCCUACGGGAGGCAGCAGUGGGGAAUAUUGGACAAUGGGCGAAAGCCUGAUCCAGCCAUGCCGCGUGUGUGAAGAAGGUCUUCGGAUUGUAAAGCACUUUAAGUUGGGAGGAAGGGCAGUAAGUUAAUACCUUGCUGUUUUGACGUUACCAACAGAAUAAGCACCGGCUAACUUCGUG